AUUAACCGGUGGUGGGACAGAAGGGCCUGGGAGCCUCCGCAGGCAGGGCUGAUGAAGAAGCGUACCUGGAGGGGCUGUUGCUCACUGACCUGGAAUUUUCCAUUCCUCUGCGGCUCACAUGACCGGGGCCGUGUUUUUGUUAAGCUGCACAGAGGUCUCUUCAGGACUUGAUGGCACAUUCCUUUUUGGCGCCGACUGGCAUUCCACUGUCUGGAUGAACCACCGUUUAUUUAUCCACUCUCCCACUAAAGGACAGCUUGGUUGCUUCUAGGUUUUGCCAAUUAUCAGUGAAGCUGCUAUAAACAUCCGUGUGCAGGUUGUCAUGUGACCUACAUGUUCACCUCCUUUGGGUCAAUACCAAGAAUAGCAAUUGCUGCAUUAAUGCAACAUUUUUAAAAAAUCAAAAUUAAUGAAAACCAUAUGAAGAACAAACUAUCAGAAAUUAAAAAAAAAAAAAACACACACCCCAAACAGACAGACUCUGAUCUAGCACUUGUCUGACUUGGCCCCCUCCCAACCCUCGAAUCCUGACCCUGUUGGGUUUUACUGCUGCAGCCGAGCAGCUAUUUAAUGGAAACUUUCUGACUCAAUCCAUGUUUCUGAUAGACUCCACCCAUAGGAGAUCCUAAAUAAUUCAGUCUUUACUGGGGUGGGGUAAUCCCAUUAGUGAUUCCAAGUGAUUUUCAGACAGUUUCUUUAUUAAAGAUUAAAAACAGCA